AGUAGUCCAGACGAUCGCUGGGUCAAUAUUGACCGAGAGGAAAGUCCGAACACCGCAGGACAGGGUGCUUCAUAAUACGAAGUCGUGGCAACACGAAGGAAAGUGUCAAA
rnacentral:ribozyme from 1 species